rnacentral:rRNA from 1 species
AAUCGUACCCCAAACCGACACAGGUGGUCAGGUAGAGAAUACCAAGGCGCUUGAGAGAACUCGGGUGAAGGAACUAGGCAAAAUGGUGCCGUAACUUCGGGAGAAGGCACGCUGGUGUGUAGGUGAAGUCCCUGCGGAUGGAGCUGAGACCAGUCGAAGAUACCAGCUGGCUGCAACUGUUUAUUAAAAACACAGCACUGUGCAAACACGAAAGUGGACGUAUACGGUGUGACGCCUGCCCGGUGCCGGAAGGUUAAUUGAUGGGGUUAUCCGUAAGGAGAAGCUCUUGAUCGAAGCCCCGGUAAACGGCGGCCGUAACUAUAACGGUCCUAAGGUAGCGAAAUUCCUUGUCGGGUAAGUUCCGACCUGCACGAAUGGCGUAAUGAUGGCCAGGCUGUCUCCACCCGAGACUCAGUGAAAUUGAACUCGCUGUGAAGAUGCAGUGUACCCGCGGCAAGACGGAAAGACCCCGUGAACCUUUACUAUAGCUUGACACUGAACAUUGAGCCUUGAUGUGUAGGAUAGGUGGGAGGCUUUGAAGCGUGGACGCCAGUCUGCGUGGAGCCAACCUUGAAAUACCACCCUUUAAUGUUUGAUGUUCUAACGUUGGCCCCUGACCGGGGUUGCGGACAGUGUCUGGUGGGUAGUUUGACUGGGGCGGUCUCCUCCCAAAGCGUAACGGAGGAGCACGAAGGUUAGCUAAUCCUGGUCGGACAUCAGGAGGUUAGUGCAAUGGCAUAAGCUAGCUUGACUGCGAGCGUGACGGCGCGAGCAGGUGCGAAAGCAGGUCAUAGUGAUCCGGUGGUUCUGAAUGGAAGGGCCAUCGCUCAACGGAUAAAAGGUACUCCGGGGAUAACAGGCUGAUACCGCCCAAGAGUUCAUAUCGACGGCGGUGUUUGGCACCUCGAUGUCGGCUCAUCACAUCCUGGGGCUGAAGUAGGUCCCAAGGGUAUGGCUGUUCGCCAUUUAAAGUGGUACGCGAGCUGGGUUUAGAACGUCGUGAGACAGUUCGGUCCCUAUCUGCCGUGGGCGCUGGAGAAUUGAGGGGGGCUGCUCCUAGUACGAGAGGACCGGAGUGGACGCAUCACUGGUGUUCGGGUUGUCAUGCCAAUGGCACUGCCCGGUAGCUAAAUGCGGAAGAGAUAAGUGCUGAAAGCAUCUAAGCACGAAACUUGCCCCGAGAUGAGUUCUCCCUGAGACUUUAAGUCUCCUGAAGGAACGUUGAAGACGACGACGUUGAUAGGCCGGGUGUGUAAGCGCAGCGAUGCGUUGAGCUAACCGGUACUAAUGAACCGUGAGGCUUAACCUU